rnacentral:rRNA from 1 species
UACGUAGGGUCCGAGCGUUGUCCGGAAUUACUGGGCGUAAAGGGCGCGUAGGCGGCCUCCUAAGUCAGACGUGAAAUCCCCCGGCUUAACCUGGGAACUGCGUCUGAUACUGGGAGGCUAGAGUGCGGGAGAGGGAUGCGGAAUUCCAGGUGUAGCGGUGAAAUGCGUAGAGAUGUGGAGGAACACCAGUGGCGAAGGCGACUCUCUGGUCUGUAACUGACGCUGAGGCGCGAAAGCGUGGGGAGCGAACAGG